AGCGAACGCUGGCGGCAGGCCUAACACAUGCAAGUCGAACGGCACCCUCGUACGAGCUUGCUCUUACGGGUGGCGCGUGGCGGACGGGUGAUUAAUACACAGGAAUCUACUUUUACGUGGGGGCUAACGCCGGGAAAUUUCCUCUAACAACGCAUACGACCUACGGGUGAAAGCAGGCGCUCUACGAGCUUUGCGCGAUUGAAUGAGCCGAUCUUGGAUUAGAUAGAUGGCGGGGUAAAGGGCCACCACGGCGACGAUCCGUAACUGGUAUGAGAGGAUGAUCAGCCACCGUGGAACUGAGAUAGGGUCCAGACCCCGACGGGAGGCAGCAGUGGAGAAUAUUGGCAAAUGGACGCAAGCCUGAUCCAGCCAAACCGGGUGAGUGAAGAAGGCGUGCGGGUUGUAAAGCUCUUAUGUUGGGAAAGAAAAGCAGCAGGUUAAUACCGCGCGGUUCUGACGGUACCCAAAGAAUAAGCACCGGCUAACUUCGUG
rnacentral:rRNA from 1 species